rnacentral:tRNA from 1 species
UGCGGCGGCCACCCUGGAGGGCCGGCCGCCGGCGUCGGCCGGCCCUCUGUGGGGCUUCGCCUGCCGCCGGCUGGACACCGACCCGCCGCGGC